UAGUCUAAAGGGUAAUAUGGUCAUUACAUGUUAACCUAUUUUUGUCAAGUUGUUGGAAUCUCUCUCACCCUUUCUCUCUCUCUUACUUACGUAUAUUUCUUCCUCUCACUCUCAAAUACAGUUUUCAAACCUUUAAACCCUAAUUGAGCCGCCACCACCAUACACUUCCAAAACCAUCUUCGCAACCUUCAUCUUUUAUCCUUUACUACAUCUACAAAACCUACAACUUGUUGUCACGACUUGUAAAUCGAGAAGAUCAAGAGGCUCGAGGGUUGAAUCGAUUUUCGGGGCCAAAGUGAGCACAAUUUUUGUGUUGUCGUCGCUACCUCAUCUCCGCCCUGGUGCUCUUUUUCAUCACAACCUACUUAUGUUGCCUCAUUCUUCUUCUUUCUUCGUGCGUGUGUGGAUCAAUUGGCAAAAUAAAAAAGCUUCAAGAAAGAUCAAUCAACAAAAUAUCAACCUUUCGUGCCUCUUUACUCCCACGUAACCAAAAUCUGACUUUGAAACACCAAUAAGUGUGUAGAGGAACUCGAGAUGCAUCUACAAACGGGAUAUUGGAGUGCUAAUAUACAACCAAACAAAACAAAGUGGAAAAGAUAUUGCCUUAUUCAUUUAUGAUUAUAUAAUAAUAGUUACUUAUUUUUAUUCGAAUUUUUGUUUAUGUUGUAUUCAUAUGUGAUUAUAGAAAAAUAGAUAUGUAUUACAUUGUAACUUUUUGUGAUACUAUUAUUUAUGAAUAGAUGUAUAAUCUAGAUAUACAUCCAAUAUGUUUUUAUUUAUUUAUGA